CUGACGGAGCACGCCGCGUGAGUGAUGAAGGUUUUCGGAUCGUAAAGCUCUGUUGUUAGGGAAGAACAAGUGCCGUUCAAAUAGGGCGGCACCUUGACGGUACCUAACCAGAAAGCCACGGCUAACUACGUGCCAGCAGCCGCGGUAAUACGUAGGUGGCAAGCGUUGUCCGGAAUUAUUGGGCGUAAAGGGCUCGCAGGCGGUUUCUUAAGUCUGAUGUGAAAGCCCCCGGCUCAACCGGGGAGGGUCAUUGGAAACUGGGGAACUUGAGUGCAGAAGAGGAGAGUGGAAUUCCACGUGUAGCGGUGAAAUGCGUAGAGAUGUGGAGGAACACCAGUGGCGAAGGCGACUCUCUGGUCUGUAACUGACGCUGAGGAGCGAAAGCGUGGGGAGCGAACAGGAUUAGAUACCCUGGUAGUCCACGCCGUAAACGAUGAGUGCUAAGUGUUAGGGGGUUUCCGCCCCUUAGUGCUGCAGCUAACGCAUUAAGCACUCCGCCUGGGGAGUACGGUCGCAAGACUGAAACUCAAAGGAAUUGACGGGGGCCCGCACAAGCGGUGGAGCAUGUGGUUUAAUUCGAAGCAAC
rnacentral:rRNA from 2 species